AUUGAACGCUGGCGGCAUGCCUUACACAUGCAAGUCGAACGGUAACAGGCCGCAAGGUGCUGACGAGUGGCGAACGGGUGAGUAAUACAUCGGAACGUGCCCGAGAGUGGGGGAUAACGGAGCGAAAGCUUUGCUAAUACCGCAUACGAUCUACGGAUGAAAGCAGGGGACCGCAAGGCCUUGCGCUCAUGGAGCGGCCGAUGCCUGAUUAGCUUGUUGGUGGGGUAAAAGCCUACCAAGGCGACGAUCCGUAGCGGGUCUGAGAGGAUGAUCCGCCACACUGGGACUGAGACACGGCCCAGACUCCUACGGGAGGCAGCAGUGAGGAAUAUUGGUCAAUGGGCGCAAGCCUGAACCAGCCAUGCCGCGUGCAGGAAGACGGUCCUAUGGAUUGUAAACUGCUUUUAUACAGGAAGAACAACUCUACGUGUAGAGUCUUGACGGUACUGUAGGAUAAGGAUCGGCUAACUCCGUGCCAG
rnacentral:rRNA from 1 species